rnacentral:rRNA from 1 species
AACGCGAAGAACCUUACCAGGUCUUGACAUCCCUUGAUCUCCCAAGAGAUUGGGAUUCCCUUCGGGGCAAGGAGACAGGUGGUGCAUGGUUGUCGUCAGCUCGUGUCGUGAGAUGUUGGGUUAAGUCCCGCAACGAGCGCAACCCUUACUAUUAGUUGCUACGCAAGAGCACUCUAAUGGGACUGCCGUUGACAAAACGGAGGAAGGUGGGGAUGACGUCAAAUCAUCAUGCCCUUUAUGACCUGGGCUACACACGUAAUACAAUGGCAAUUUAACAACGGGAGGCGAAGCCGCGAGGUGGAGCAAAACCCAAAAAAUUGUCUCAGUUCGGAUCGCAGGCUGCAACCCGCCUGCGUGAAGUCGGAAUUGCUAGUAAUCGCGGAUCAGCAUGCCGCGGUGAAUACGUUCCCGGGUCUUGUACACACCG